AUCUUACUUCAACUUCAGGAAGUAAAUAAUAUGAAGGGGUUGCGGAUGGUACAGUAAAGCGGGCUUUAAACCUGUGAACUUUUAAUUACAAAUCUAAAAUAAAAAUUCCAAUAUUACAUUUAUACCUAAUUAGAGAGGUCAUGAAUGAGAAAUUUCUGAAGUCCGUUCUUUUUUCAUUCUUUCAUGUAAAACAUCGAUUGAAGUUUAUUUGUUUUUUUCUUUUCCUUGAACAACCCAGCCAAAGUAUUAGAUUCAUUAUUGGUAGAAGUAUGCCCUUGAUAUAGGGUUGAAGGAAUACUUCUACUUGAUUAAAAAAAUACAGGGUUAAAGGACUAAAACACCAUCAAAUUUGGGAUUGUUAAGACUAUUGGUUAGACCAUUAGAUUCUCGUCUUAAGUUCUCUCUCUCUCUUUUUUUUUUUUUUUUUUUUUUUUUUUUUUGCUAUGAAGUAUCAUUUUGAUUUUAUUGUCUUAGGUUCAGGAGAUUGAUUUCACUCAAAUGUGUAAAACUGAAAGUGGUUCAAAUACUUGUUCACCUUGAGCAUUGAACAUGGAUCUCCGGUUUAGUCUUUACACUAGAGAAAUAUAAAUUUUCUCAUCAUUUGGUUGCAGUUCUGUUAUGCGUAUAAAUUGUUUAUAGGUUAAUUUGAUUUCCAUGAUUCAUCCUUGAAAAAGGUUAUAGCCCAGUAUGACUUUCACACAAUUAGCCUAACCUCUGUGUCCAAUUUGAUAAGUUAUCUAUUAUGAUCAUGGGAUGGAUGGUGAAUGGAACUUUCAUGACAUCUUUCUUCAUAGUCAAGCUCUGGAGGGCAUAUCAUUAUGUAUGGUAUGUGAAUAAAGAUUUCCAACUGUAAUUCUCGGCAUCUACUUUGAUAUUUUAGCUAUAGAUACCUAUUAUUUUAUUUGUACAAAGACAUAUGGAGAAUGGUUAAUUUUAGUAGCUAUUGUAUUGAGUAUGUCCCGGCUUAUAUUUUAUGCAUCGAGUAUGAACUGAUUGUAGAGGUCUAAACUAUAUUUUGUUACUUCCAGAUUGUGUCUCACUGGAAGAAGGAAGUUCAUUGCAGAUUUGGUUAAAUGAGUUUACAUUAUUGAAACUUGUAAAAGUAUUGUUACUUGGGCAGUGUAUUUCAUAAGGGGUUUGAAGAGUUUAGCUUACAAGUCAAGAUGCAAGUUUUGAAGGUGUCAUAGCUCAAGAAAUCAUUAUCAUUUUCUAGGAUUGUUAGGGGGGAAAUUAUAUUUUUGCUCGGAGGCUGCUUGUAAAUAGUACCGCAACAUACACGUUAUGGUUAUACAGUUAGUAGAAGGAUGUACAUUUUUUGUGAUUAGUUAUCAAGUUUAUACAUGUGUAUGCUUAUUUGUACAUAAUAAAAGUGAUUUUUCUAUUGAUCUCUU